CGUACAUAUGGUUUAACUUGAGUUUACAUUAGACUUAUUUUGGGAUGAAUUCAAGAAACGCCUAAGGGUACAUUUUAGUCAAAAGUAAGAGUUCCAAACAUGUAAGAAUAUUAUAAAAUGUUUAUGUCUCAAUAAUUGUUGCAGGUAGCAAUAGACAUUGAUGCUUUGCUAAAAUAUUUGCAAUCUAUAUAUUAUUUUUAAUUUUCUUGAAAGAUACAAACGCAUACAGCCAUAUGAGAAUGCAUCAUGUGCCUCAAACUCAAGUCUUCUCAGUACAGAAUUAGGUGAUCAAUGCAAAUGGGCCAGGAACAGUUUGUCUAUUUGAGCAGAUACGUUUAGAGGUAUUAUCAGUUUCACUUUGCCUAUACUCGUUGUAUUAUUUAACCAGUUUUCUUAAUUUUUUUGUGGUUAUUUAUGUUACUUUUACACAAUCAAAAUCAGAUGGAUCCAAUUUUCAAUUGCUGAAUUUGCUUAGCAGAUUAUAUAUGUGCUUUUCACUGUAGCACUAGACGGUUGCUAAGAAUAGAAAUUUCUGGUAGUCUUGGUAAGUUAUUGCUAAGGAUACUAGGAAAGUUUUUAUGAACGUGGUAAUAAAUCUGCACUAACUUUGAUUUUCAUCUGACACAGAAGUCUCCUUGCUCUUAACUUGUAGGCUUGCACCAUCUACCAACUUGAAUUGUAUUACUGGAAGCUUUGCUAUCAGAGAAAUAUGUUGCAGAGUGUAGCUUGUGCAUACAGUGUAGAAGCAAAUAAGUACCUCUCUUAGUUUAUGUAUGGAUAUAUGCAUGGUCAAGCCUAAGGAAAUGUACAGUGACAUAUUACCAGCUACGCAAAGGUUACUGAAUGCAGUUGACAUAUCAUCUUUGCAAAAGGGUUAACACAUUGUCUUCAUUAACUUGUUAGCGUAAUUAUGUACAUGUACUUAUUGUUAUACUUUACAUAACGUGGUAUCCGAGGGUACCGCCAAGGAAACAAGAAGGAAUUCCCAAAAACCAGUGGGUCUUGAUUGAGAAUUUGUCAGAUCAAGUCUCUUUUUUGGCUCUAAUUUUGAUGAUUCAUUCCUUGUAGAAGUAGAGUUGAAAAAGAUGCGUGGACUUGUUUGUUGGAAACCUCCAAGAAGACAUAUGUGAAAAGUACACUGAGAUCUAAGAGGCAGUACGUGGUAUUGAUAUGAGAUUGUGCAAUAUUUUAUCAUCUAAAUUAAAACUGUCUUAACAAAUGUAUUGUUGCCAAUAGGACAGGUUUACGCAUCGUAUUUUAUUAUUUGUGCAACUGGUGACGUUAUAUUUGCCCAAUCAUUGUCAAGUAUAUACAUACAGUAUAGCAAAGAAGGAAGAUGGCAAUGGUCGUUGUGUACAAGUACUGAUAUAUAAUGUAGCUAUUGUUGUUGUUAUUAUUUCAGGAGGACAUUAAACUGUCUUCAUUUCGUGUUAUUUUGGUGGAGUCUGGAAGACUUCUAAUACAGCAAGGAAUAACAAACAACAUUACAAUUAUUUCUACCGCAUAACUAUUAGAUUCCUCAUCAAGUUUGUCACUGUGACAUAAGGCCUACAAACAUACUAUUGACUGCAGAUAUGAAAGCCAAGCUUAGUGACCUCGGAGAGGCUCGAUUGACAGAUCAGGUUUUGGUACGUGAUUAUGUAUCUCCCGAGAGAGGAGAACAUCGUCCGCUCACUCCUGCAACUGAUGUGUUCAGUAUGGGACUGACCAUGUGCGAACUAUUUACUGGAAUUAAAGCCACUUAUAAAUUGGGAACAAGAGAGGCUUUGUUGAAAGCUGUAGAGCAUUCGGUCCUUUAUGAUAUCUGCUCUCAGAUGAUGUUUCGAACAUACACGAUGAGGAUAUCCGUUGUAGAUGCUUUGCGUGGAGUCGAGCAUGUUAUGGACACUCCUGAUUAUUGGAAUUGCCCUUCUAAGAGAUUUGUCAAAGGGAAAGUGAAUGGUGCUGUGCAAGUGACUCUCAUUGACAAGCCUGAUGCGUGGUAAUGGCUA